AUUGAACGCUGGCGGCAGGCUUAACACAUGCAAGUCGAACGAGUGGCGGACGGGAGAGUAAUGCCUGUGACUCUUGCUUAGGGAUGGCUAUAACGACGGGUAACUGUUGCUAAUUCCGCCCUCCCUAGGCUGAGCCGAAUUGGGAUUAGUUAGUUGGAGGGGUAAAGGCCUACCAAGACGACGAUCUGUUGCUGGGCUGAGAGGAUGACCAGCCACACCGGUACUGAGACACGGCCCGGACUCCUACGGGAGGCAGCAGUGGGGAAUAUUGCGCAAUGGGGGAAACCUGACGCAGCCAUGCCGCGUGGGUGAAGAAGGCCUUCGGGUUGUAAAGUACUUUCGGUGACGAGGCGUUAAUCACAGAAGAAGCACCGGCUAACUCCGUGCCAGCAGCCGCGGUAAUUC
rnacentral:rRNA from 1 species